rnacentral:lncRNA from 1 species
CUCGUGAGUCCGUGGCGCGCACCCAGGGGCGCCCGCACGUGCGGCUAGAACGUCCGAGUCGGGGUCCGGGGCGGGGGGCGCAGGCCCGCGGCGGUAGGGGAGGAGAGCGGGCACCCGAGUCUCCAUCCUCAGGGUGGCCUGAAGGUUCCAGGAGGGCGUCCGGCGAAGGCACGGGGCUGCGACCAUCCAGUUAGCGGGCUGGUGUGACCGUUUAGAGUAAAUGAAAAUUCGUUUUGUGACACUGACCACCUCCAAGGAAUGAAAGGAGCAGUCAGCCGAAACGACAGCAUUACUUGCGUCCUUACCUAAUUGGAACCUUAUCCGUGGCUGAGGGUGCCACCAUUGGAGGGGCCGCCGCCCCCUCUGACACCACCUGGCGCUCCGCUCCAUUUAGGAGCUAGAACGAAAAGGAGGCCCAUCCCCCAGUAAGUCACAGCCCACGCCAAGAUGAGUUCUGGAGCCUGUGCGACCGAAGUUUCUUCACCGCAGGGCCAGGUGGACGAGGGUGUGAGUUACUUUGACUUCAAGACGUCUCAGUGGCGGCUGAUUCUGGAGAGAGGCUUUAUGCUGGAGCACUUCCAGCAAAGUUCGGCUGGGGCCUCCUUAACUCACUGGCUGGUCACCCUUGGCCUCGGUUUUCAACCAAAGCCUAAGGCCUCAGUUUUCAACGCUGUAAAUGGAAAUAAAUGAGAGAAGAAGAUAAUUGGAGAGAAGAAAGAAAAUGCAGCCAAA